CCGGGCACGGUCACGGUCACAGCCGCCGCCCGCUAUGACUUCAUUGGACCUGGGAGAAUUAGAAACUUCCCUGAGGAAACAAGUCACUGGCCACUCAUGGAGAUUUGCCAAGGAGAUUGUGCAGCAGAUAAAUUACUGACGUAUAAAAGGAAAAAGACUAAGAAAGAAAAAAAAUGCAGUAAGAACAAAAUAGAAAAUAUGGAUGAGUUAUACGUCCACUCCAAUAUGUCGCCUCCACUGUGGAGGUAGCAAUUUUCUACAUUUUGUCUCCAGUAUAAUGUUCAUGAAGUUACUGAAUUAAAAUGAGCAGUACUAGGGCUUGAUGGUAUUUGUCCAAGGGUUUUAAAGGAACUUAGGUAGGAAAUUUCUGAUUGCUUGUCUUUGUUGCAUUGUCUAAUCAACCUCUUUUUGUAAUUAUCAGAAUUAUUAUGAAAUUCAGGAAGGUCUGCAGUGCUAAUUCGAAAAUUGGGAAUGGAUGGCUUAGUCUGGCUGCUGCCCUGAUGAAUCUGCAGAAAAUGUUCUUAGGCUGUUUAUAGAUAGCACGUGUAUAAUAGGUAAACAUCUAUCUGUGGUCCUCUUCUGUAGAGGUAAACAAAAAGCUCUCAGGCUAUUUUGUUAUUUGAAGGAGCCAGUAAGCAUCUCUCUGGUCUGCAUAGUGGUGUCUAUUCAGAUGUCAGUAAAGUUUUUCACAAAACCAUGAGCAAAUACUAUCAUUAAAGGCAUGAGAUCUCCUUGGGAUAAGAUAUAUCAUAAAUAGUAGAAAAGAUAAAAAGCAGAAAUAGGAAUAUGGGAUCACUUCUUGCUAUGGAGGGAAUUUGGAAUCUCCCAGGACCUUGUUUUGCUACCUUGCUUUUCAGCAUAUUUGUAAAUGGUCUGGAAAGGGGAGGGAUAUUAAGGUGACAGUUGCAGAUGUUAUAAAAUCGCUGAGGAUAAUAAAAUCUAAAUCUGAUUGCAAAAUGCUGCGAAAGGAUACUGGGGUGCUACGUGACAGGGAAAUGAAACAGCAGAUCUAAUUUAGUGUUGGUAGUCCUUCGCAUGAUAAAUGCAAAAUUACAUUAGAAGUGAAAAGUGACUGCCUAUAUAACCAAAUGGACUUUUGAUAUUACUAAUCAGAAAUGAGAUUGUGAAAUUACUUCAAAGAGUCUCUGAAAAUAGCUUCUCAAUGUUCAGCAGUGAUCAAGAAACCACAGAGCUGGAAAUUAUUAAGAAAGGAUUUGUAAGAAACCAAAACAUCCUUUUGUCUGGAUAGAUCCAUGGUACACUCUGUCCAUGUCAGUUGUCCAUGAAUCUGUCAGUUCUGUUUCCCCAUAUUUCAGAAAAUAUACAGUAAAGCAAUAAAGGAUGAUAGCAGUGAUCAGAGCUUUGAAUUACAUCAUAUGAGAAGAGAUGAAGCUGACUAGAAAUUAGAGAAGGGGGCAAUUUGGGAAGGAGAUGAUAAAGAUUGACUAAAACAAGAUUAUGAAAUCACAGAUUACACAUGGAUGAACAGGGCAGGAUUGUUCAGUGUUUGACACAGGAAAAACACCCAUGGUACCCAAUGAAGUUUGAAUAGUAGAUUUCAGAAAUAAAAUUAAAUACUCAACCAGGCAAAAUCUAAAUUAAAUUCUAGAAUCUACAGGGUUUCCUGAAGGCCAAAAUUGUAAAUGGAUGCAAGGUGUAAUUGCAUAGUUUAAGGAUAAGUGGUCCUUUAUCAGCUUUUAAAUAGGUAACAAUUUCCAAGAAGCCUCUAAGUCUGACUGAUAGGAAGAUGGCAAAACAUUCCUUGGGAGGCACCAUUCAGUAUUUGUCCUGUUUCCUAGUGUCUCCUCAUGUUCUUCCUUUGAGAUGCUGAGCAGUUGGUCCUUCAUCUCAGUACAGCCCUUACAGUAUCGUCAUUCCUUCCUUUUAAUGUCUAACUCAAGAAGCAACCUGAAGGACCUAAUGCCUCUUCUUAAUGGUGAAAUUCAAUCUCUCCAAGGCACAGAAGAGCUCCAGUUCAAGAAGGCCUAACUAUCUGCAGACUCAGUUCCUCUUCCUGCCUUUUGUAGGCUCCCAUGCAGCUCCUGGCAUAUUUUGAAUAGUGAACCUGAAUGACUUCAAUACAACAGUUCUAAAAACUUCCUGGAAGUUUUUACUCUGCUGUGUCUCAGAUGAAAAAAAAAUGUAUAUAUCUAUCUCUCCAUGUACUCACCAAUUCUUUACCCCCAAUAUAGCCCCAGGCAUUUGUGGCUGUUCUGCAUCUUACAGAACUGUGUCUCAUGGAAAAAAAUCUGGAAAAUCUUGGUAGUGAAAAGUCACAUUCCUUGUUUUUAACCUGUGCAUGUCCUUAGUGUUACAGUGUUAUUGUGGCCAGUGUAACAGUACUGAAUUUGGAAUAUAAAGUAACUGUUUGGAUCUCUGCUAAAUUAUCACAAGUGUAACAGUGCUGAAUUUGGAAUAUAAAGCAACUGUUUGGAUCUCUGCUAAAUUAUCACAAGGGUAACAGUGCUGACUUUGGAAUAUAAAGUAACUGUUUGGAUCUCUGCUAAAUUAUCACAAGUGUAACAGAGGGCUUCAGGUCAAUGACAAAAGCAAAUGAUGGGGUACUUUUUCAUGUUUAAUGCAUCUGUUUUUCUGUUGUUAAUUGAUAUCCUAAGAAAAUAUGGGGAGUGAAAUAAUCUUAUUUUUGAAUCUGGUUUUGCAGUUUUAACUAUGAUGUCAGCUGUGAUUUCAACAUCGGGCCUAUGUUUUGAGCAACAAUACAUCUAGGAAAUACACUCUCUCCUACAAAUCUCCAGAACUUCUGACAGACUUCACAAUCUGGAUAUUACUGUUGUACAUAGCUGUAGUUGUUCUUAAGUGACCCUUGAUCUUUUUUUGUUUCUGUAAAACUUGUGAAUUUGAAGCACAAAAAGAUGUACAGGGUCAGAAAUCUUUAUCUUUACUCUUCAUUAUCACUAAAUGCAUUAUCUCCCAAGGGUGAAGAAAACAGGUCAUGUAGACAAUCACUGAAAUUGGCAUCUUUUCUCUCUCAAGUAGCCAGGGAGGUGGAUCAAUGAGCUAUGGAGUGCUAGCAGGAAAGCAGGUAUUUCUUAUAUGCUGGUUAAUUAACCAUUAGUCAUUGCCUAAAAAUACUGCAGUUUGAGUUACAUCAGUCCUCCAGAUCAGGGUGAUGAAGCAUUAACUUUAAUACAUCUAAUCUUGCUGCUGCCUGCUGAGCUGGGGUGGUAAAGGAGGGGUGGUACCAGCUGUAGCAAUGACCAGGCCAUCCUAUGAGCUCAGACAGGUGUAAAUGCAAAUCAUUGUGGCACACAUAAAGCCAGGCUCAAACUGGCUCUUCCUUCAGGAGGAACCUGUUAGGUAACCACAGUUCUACCCCACAGGCUCAGAUGCUCAGUGGGACUUUGACAAUUUUUUGAAGAGCUCUGAAUUGUUCAUUCAUUGUGAAGUUACCCCAAACCAGGAAAAUCCCUUCUGAGAACACACACGCAGCUUUUAGUUGUCUAUUUUAUAUCAACAUCCCUAGAUUUUCAUAUCACUGAAAGUCCUCAGUGCAACUCAUUCUGGUGAAAUGUUCUGUGUGAAGACAGCUGAUAAAAUAGAGAAUAAUUUAACAGCAAAUUCUGAACAAACAAUAUUGACCCUUGAAAAUGUGGCAUUUCCAUUUUAGAAAGCAUAUUUUUUCUAGCUGUGCAGACAA